rnacentral:rRNA from 1 species
AUUGAACGCUGGCGGCAUGCUUUACACAUGCAAGUCGAACGGUAACAGGCCGCAAGGUGCUGACGAGUGGCGAACGGGUGAGUAAUGUAUCGGAACGUGCCCAGUCGUGGGGGAUAACGCAGCGAAAGCUGCGCUACUACCGCAUACGAUCCAUGGAUGAAAGCGGGGGACCGUACGGCCUCGCGCGAUUGGAGCGGCCGAUAUCAGAUUAGGUAGUUGGUGGGGUAAAGGCUCACCAAGCCAACGAUCUGUAGCUGGUCUGAGAGGACGACCAGCCACACUGGGACUGAGACACGGCCCAGACUCCUACGGGAGGCAGCAGUGGGGAAUUUUGGACAAUGGGCGCAAGCCUGAUCCAGCAAUGCCGCGUGCAGGAAGAAGGCCUUCGGGUUGUAAACUGCUUUUGUACGGAACGAAACGGUCUGGGUUAAUACCUCGGGCUAAUGACGGUACCGUAAGAAUAAGCACCGGCUAACUACGUGCCAGCCGCCGCAGUAAGAC